GAUGAACGCUGGCGGCGUGCCUAAUACAUGCAAGUCGAGCGAACAGACGAGGAGCUUGCUCCUCUGACGUUAGCGGCGGACGGGUGAGUAACACGUGGAUAACCUACCUAUAAGACUGGGAUAACUUCGGGAAACCGGAGCUAAUACCGGAUAAUAUAUUGAACCGCAUGGUUCAAUAGUGAAAGACGGUUUUGCUGUCACUUAUAGAUGGAUCCGCGCCGCAUUAGCUAGUUGGUAAGGUAACGGCUUACCAAGGCGACGAUGCGUAGCCGACCUGAGAGGGUGAUCGGCCACACUGGAACUGAGACACGGUCCAGACUCCUACGGGGGCAGCAGUAGGGAAUCUUCCGCAAUGGGCGAAAGCUUGACGGAGCAACGCCGCGUGAGUGAUGAAGGUCUUCGGAUCGUAAAACUCUGUUAUUAGGGAAGAACAAAUGUGUAAGUAACUAUGCACGUCUUGACGGUACCUAAUCAGAAAGCCACGGCUAACUACGUG
rnacentral:rRNA from 1 species